UCCAAGGGUUUAUAAAGAUAAUUUAAAAUGCCUUUGAGAUGACAAAAGUUAAGACUCAUCAUUUUACUUAGAUUUGCAUCCUACCGUUAUAAUUUUAGGCUCCCUCAUAAUCCUACUAACAUUUUACUCUCUCGGUACUAUUUUUCAUUAAUUCAUCAAUUUCAUUUCAUCCUGGCUAGGUUCUUUCCUCACUUCAUUCCCAGCAUGCACUUGUACAUGCUGUACACUCCACUCUCUUCAGUACCAGGACAGGACUACAAAUUCUUUAGAGAAUGUACAGCCAAACAAGGUGACUUACCGCCUGCCAAGAGAGCUUAUGAAGAGAUUUCAUUUCUUGGGCAUCCAGAGC
rnacentral:lncRNA from 1 species